rnacentral:rRNA from 1 species
GAUGAACGCUGGCGGCGUGCCUAAUACAUGCAAGUCGAGCGAACAGAUGAGGAGCUUGCUCCUCUGACGUUAGCGGCGGACGGGUGAGUAACACGUGUAUAACCUACCUAUAAGACUGGGAUAACUUCGGGAAACCGGAGCUAAUACCGGAUAAUAUAUUGAACCGCAUGGUUCAAUAGUGAAAGACGGUUUUGCUGUCACUUAUCGAUGGAUCCCGCCUUAUUAGCUAGUUGGUAAGGUAACGGCUUACCAAGGCAACGAUGCGUAGCCGACCUGAGAGGGUGAUCGGCCACACUGGAACUGAGACACGGUCCAGACUCCUACGGGAGGCAGCAGUAGGGAAUCUUCCGCAAUGGGCGAAAGCCUGACGGAGCAACGCCGCGUGAGUGAUGAAGGUCUUCGGAUCGUAAAACUCUGUUAUUAGGGAAGAACAAAUGUGUAAGUAACUAUGCACGUCUUGACGGUACCUAAUCAGAAAGCCACGGCUAACUACGUG